CUUGGAAAAUUAGUAGACUUGGCAAUAUUGUAUCUGCAUGGUGAAUUGGUUGAAGUGGAAUAGUGGCUGCCCAUUUAAAACAAGAAACGGGAAACAAGAAGAUUCGUUGACAAGUUCUGCAUCUUUGCAGGAAUUGCUUUCUGCUAGAAGUUAAAAAUGGAACAUGUCAUGGACACAGAGCUCACCACCUGCAAGCUGGAUCUCCUCCUGGGACUUGGGCCAUAGAGUGUUCCGGGUGCUGUUUGAUGAAUUGGACACGUAAGACAGGAGUCUGCUCACUGCACGUAGGUUGGGAGGCCUAGUCAUGGCAGAACACUAAGGAGAGGUGUUGAACUGUUGAAAUAAACUCAUUCACAUCUUCUGAGGAAAAAAAAAAUCUUUGCUUAUGCUAAGCUGCAAAGGCCGUUAUCACGUAAGUGGCCUUUCGGGUUGACAAACACUUUGGAUAUUUCCCUGCAAAGACAUCCACAGUAGCUAUAAGACAUUAUGGAGAAAGUUAUCUGGUGUAGUUAUUCAGUUCUCUUUUCUAUGCUAAAAUUAGCUUCUGGAACUGUAACUGAUGGCCUGAACCCAGUGAUGGAAAUUGUGAUACAGUGGAAACUGACUUCCCAGAUUUGAUUUCAAACUCUGAAGAUAACCUCCCACUGCUUGGUGCUCCUUUACCAGUCCUUACCAAUCGUGUAAAAGAUGAUGUGCAGUGUAAUACGGGAUGGAACAUUUAGUGCAGUGACACCAGAACGCCAAGCUCCUGUAGAUAUCUUAACAAUUGUGCAAAGAUUUUUGAAAAUCAUGUUUGAAAAUGCCUAGGUUUUUAAACAGCUGUUUUCCGUAAAUUAAGUAAAACUAAAUAUCACUCCUAGUCAGGGCUACCUGGCAAGGCCAAAUUCUGUGUUCACAUAGAACUUGAUCCAAGAUUUAACAACGACAUGUUGGUGCUGAAGAAAAAGUCGCAGAUUCCUGGUUCCAAAACAAAAGUCAACAAAUUGUGAGAGAAAAUGUUAAAAGUAAAAUAUUUCUAUUUUUGUUUUAUAUUUUUUCAAUUUUGAAUUUAAGAUACAACUGCCAGUGUUAUACAUGUGUGCAUUAUGUGGUAUGGUUGC
rnacentral:lncRNA from 1 species